AUCACUAGUUCCUACAUGCAAAGUUGGUACGACUACUAACGACGCUCUUCUGUUUUUCCCCGUGCGCCAUGUGUUAAUUGUCAGAGAGUAUGUGGUGUGUUGAAAUGGCUGUACAUCUAUUUAAUAACAAGAUUUGCAUGUUAAACGAAAACGAAAUGUGUUUACAUCUAUAUAAAGAGUGAAAGCUUCAUGGGAAAUACUUAGUAGUAGGUAAGAGAAUGCAAUUCCUGCACAAUACGUCAAAUUACUUUCUACGUAGUAUAAAUGUCACCAGAUAUUAUUUGGACAGUGAGUAGAAAUUUUACAUAAAUAAUUGGAUUUAAGAAUUGAUUAUUUGUAGAAAUAAACAAAGAAUACAACAAAUAAUUCUGUGUACGUAUAUUAGAGAAUUAUUGUUGUCGAUAUUCUCAGAUGUUAAUUGUAUUUAAUGCUUAGAUAUGUAUAUAUAUAUUAUUAAAAUUAGUAAAUUGUUUCUGCGAUAAUCAAAUAAUUUACUCUUUACGUAUAAUAUCUGUAGUUUUUAAAAAUAGGCUUCGAUUAAAUUGUUUUGUCGUUCUUCCUAUGUUAUAGGUAGCUCGUAAUUACUAUGUUACUUAUCCACUUGCUAUUAGCGAUUUACGAAAUAGCCAUCUUCCAUUAGUUAGAUCGCAACAUAUCCUGUGGCUAUCAAAUACUUAUCUGUGAAUAAAAGUAUUAUAUUUUAUUGUAACGUGAUAUUACGAAUCAGCUAACUUCAAAUUUACUAAACACGUAAGCAGUGGAUAAUUUCUCGUCCGUUACAAAUUAUAAUAUUACUAUUUUUGGAAAUUAUUAAAUUUCAGGCAAACUAUUAGGUUGUCCGAAAAGUUUCUUUCGUUUUAUGAAGAAAUAAUAGACGCACAGCGUUUUUUGUUUUAUAUUAUUUUGUCGAAUUACGUAGGAUCUAUUUUGUUACGUUGGGAUAAACACGUUUGCGAAAAAAGGACACUUUUCGGGCAACCUAAUACUUUUCUCUAGCCUAAGUUAUAGCUCUAGCUCUAGCCCAAGUUAUAACAAAAAUACUUCAGCCAUUUGUAAUUAUCGGCUUUAAAUUUCAUCUCAUUAAAACACUUUUGGGAUUUAACGAUGAUUUUUCCCAGGGGAAAAAACUAUAAUCAUCUUAACGAGGCUCUGACAUUGUACAGGCUAUUGAAAAAAAGGCUUUACGGGGAUUAUGGUGGUUAUCGAGGGAAGGAAAAAAAUGUGCAAUCAACACAGCUGCUGCGAUCAAUCCAUUCGACGUAAAAUCCAUUUUUAUCAUUUCAGAACAUUUAAUGUCGCUGUCGAGUUCCUUCGUCGAGCGUAAACAAAGAGAUUGAUUCAGAAGUACGUUGGCUGAAGGCUGUCAACACAAGCAAUCUAUGAUACGUGGACGUGAGCUUUGCAUUGCAAUGGAAGGAAAACAUAUCGAACAUUUGCUGUAACAAAGAAGGUUUUUACUUUGUUUGCCUCUAUGAAGUAAUCUCUGUUGAUAUUAGUAAUGAUUUUGUGUUGACAAUGUUGAGCUAACGCACUUCUCAAUCACUCUUUCUCUGUUUACGUUCGAAGAAGAAACUCGCUCGUGACAUCGAAUGUUUGUAAAUGAUAAAAAUCGAUUUCACGUCGAAAGGAUUGAUCGCAGGACCCACGUCGAUUGGACAUUUUUUGCUCCUCUUGGUGAGUACUAUAAUUCAUGGACCCUUCUUUUGAACACCUUGUACGUUACAAUACAACAACUAGACACCUCACUGUCUAAAAUUGCAAUGGUUUUCUCACGUUGAGAACAAGAAGAUAAUUUGCCAGAUCACCGUGUAUAUCACCACGAGGCUCGGUCAAAUACAAACCGGACUCUGUUGCUAACUUUAUACUUCGGUAAAAUGUUUCAAGAAGAACAACCGACUUAUUUUUUUUACGUAUAUGCCCCGUUUGUUCUAUACACUUUUGCCGUCAGAUUGCUAAGUUUUUCAUUGCAGUUUCACAGAAAGUGGAGAGCUGGGUCAGAAAGCAAUCGCAUGCGAAUUGCUCUACUUCUUCGUUGCGGUUGAAACAUUGCCCUGCUGCUGCCUCUUUCGGUGCUCGUGAUUUUGCGGAUCUCCAACUCUCCGAAUAAUGGAAACCACGCUUCCACGACCAAUAUUUAACUUUCGAGCAAAUUUCGUUGAUCCUCACGCGUCGAUCGUGCUCGAUCGGUUUGCCAACAGCUUCCACGUUUGCUGGCGUUACACUUGUCUCGAGGCGUCGCAGAUAAAAUGUGUUUUCAACGUUUCUUGCUAAUGUUUCAUCCUCAAACCGUAGUCGCGAUCUACGCAAAAUUGCAGUGACCUCUGCGUUCUCAAAUAAAGUAAACUUAAUAAUCGUGCGUCGUGCAACCGAAGACGUACAGUUUCCUCGCUCAUUGCGUUAUCUACCGAUGAAACGACAAACAAAUCAGCACGUGCAGUGGAACGUCAGUGAAACAUUCUUUUUUAUUUGGAAGAAUUUUACAAUCAAUUCUUAUUGAGAAUUAUAAGUAAAUUAUUCUGGCGUGGUACUAUAACGCGAAUAAUAAGUGAUUAUCGUUAUUUAUGUGCUAGACUAGGUUAGCUGCGUAGUAGUGAUACUUGUAUGUGAAUAUCAGUGUGUGGAAGUAUGUGUGUGCGCGGCGUCUCGAAAACAAAGAAAUGUAAACUGUUCAGUUAACAGUCUGGUAUGGAAGAAGGUGAGACGCGUGCAAGUGUGUAUCGAUGAAUAUCUUUGAAAUCCUUUAUCAAAUAAACAUCUGAAUCUAAUGUUUAAAUCUGGAGGGCAAUGCCUUUUUAGCCUGCGCAUCUGAUCCGUCGUGUCAAGUAUAUUUGAACUCUCACGCAGUUCCAUGUGGAUAAUUGACGCUGCGGAGAUGUGCCACACGCGGUCUGGUUGAUAUUUGACCGGCGCUCGUACUACACAGAACGUUUAGGAAUUUCAUGAACACCGUGACGAGACACGACUAUCCUGAUCAUAUUGGUAAAGUUUGAAACGGAUCUGAAAAUGCGUAUACAAGUUAGGAGAUAUGGGGUUAAAGAGAAAGCUGCUUCCAUUUCUCGUAGCGAGAUGCAUCUGGCCAUCGUGAAGCAGUGAAGCUAGAGGCAAACGAGUGGCUGAUAAACGCAAAGGAAUCGGAUGAGAACUGGGACGCAGAGUUUCACGUUAGGACGCAAAUUGUUAAAUUUGUAGUAAAUGAAUUAUUUGUUCACAGGUAUAUGCAGCCCGUGUCGUAAUGGACGCGUCACGAUCCAGCGAGCACCAAUUAAAAAAAAGAGGAGACUUAUUCUCGCGACCGUCGAAGAGUUGGUUAUCAUGUGAAUUAAUGAAAUAGAAAAUUGCCUCUGGACGACGCGCACACAGCUACAAAAUCGGUGCAGGUGCGCCAGCCUGUCUUCCGUUUAAUUUCGAACAUCGACGUGAAAAAUUGGCGCGCGACCUUCUGCCUUGAUUACGUGCCACCCGGAUUCAACCUCUGGCCUCGUCGCGAGGUAAAAAUUCCUCGUUCAUUGGCCCGUAAGGGCUCUUUUCAAAGGGCGCUGCCAGCCUCGUACGAGCAAGGAAAUCUCUUUGAAACUGGUACUGGGCCCCGCUUAAUAUUAAUAGCAGCAUUUGCGGCUCCGUAUGAACGACAUUUAACUAACGAGACGCCUCGAUUCGGUCACCGUGCUUCUUUGCCUUCUUUUUCUCUUCUCACUCCUUUUUCUCUCCACUUCUUUUCUUUUCUUUUUAUUUUAUUUAUUUAAGGUCGCACCUACCUACGAGCGUUAUUUGGCGACUACCGCGGUACACAAACGAACGAUCCGAAUUUUAUGAGAAGCUCGUUUAUCCGAACACUGACUGACAGAAAGAUCUACGAUCGAAACAUCGAGCGAUAUUCUGUAAAUGCGGAGACGUUUCUUUGUAAGAAAAAUUGGAACAGGAAAUUAGAACUGAAGGAAAUUUGUACAGUUCUGUCAAACAAUUGUUAACUCCUGUUUAGAAUUAAUGUUAUGAGGUGGAAGAAUAAAUAAUGUUAAAUCUUGUAUCAAAUAUCGAAUGAUGUCAAAGAAAUAAAUAAUUUCUACCGCGUUAUACAAGAAAUUUGAUAUGUAGAGUGCGCUAAACAUUUAUAAACUUUGGUUUACCUGCAUUAUCGUUAUUAAAUGAUUCGAUCAGGUCACAUUCAUGUCAUACAUCCUGUCAUAUCGUUUAUUCACCGUGGCUAUCGUAAAUAAUAUUUCCGUGUUAUUCCUCAAAAUGUUAUAUCGAUUGAUUAUAUCGAUUAUUUAAUAGAUUGAAGCAUUUCCAGCAGAAUAAUACAGAAAUGGAAACAACUAUCAAACGUUUUAUAAUUAAAAAAUAACUGAAACGAGCCAUCGGUUGGAAAGCAACGUUUAUUAAUUAAAAACUUGACAUGAACUUUAAGCGUGUUGUAAAAUAGUCUUCCCCUGUUCAAUUUUUCCCACUUUUUGAACCGACAUUUACACACAGCUCGAUAGAGAUGUAUUGCUGUUGUACUCGAUCUUCAUAACUCGAUGUCCUAAUUAAAAUAAAAAUCAAGUCGCGCAGAAUUCAUGUUUCUGAACAAUAAGUUCUCAGCGAAUUUAACACGCGUCACUACGAUUCUUUUGAAACGAGCUAUAACGAAAGUGGCGUGGUUUGAUUAAUAAUGGCAGGGUGGUGUUCUAUACAAAAUUUAUUACUGUUGUUUUGCGUUAAUAGAACUUGGCAAUAGGCAACCAGCACGCACAGCUUACGUCGAAAAUUGUAAUUAUCAAGUGAAAAAUACGAGGCUUUGGCCACCACAACGAAUCUUUCGAAGCGAAAAUACGGGAAAGCCAGACUACAAUAACGAACUUGUUAGAAGCUGAACGAUCAAUUUUAAUAAAGAACGGAAUCAAAUUUUCCCUCUGCUCAAUUUUAAAUGAAAUUUCAAGCUUUCUUCUAUUUUCUCACUUAUGCACUGUCAUUCGUAAGCUUUUGGAUACUAAAUGCCAUUGUAGGAAAAUGUUACAUGGAACGAUAUUUUCGUAAUAUUUUCCAAGUUCGAUGCUUAGAAAUCAUUUUUCUACUGUUCAUUGUGUAUCUUCUUGCCAUAUCUCUUGAUCGUGAAGUCGAAUAAGUUAACAUUCAAAUGAAAGUAAGAAAUUUAUGCAUCUGCGUCACUCAAAUUCUAUCUUUGUUUUUAACUUGAUGUUUUAUAAAAUCUAUGCAUAUCGGUGUUCAGAAUGCGACCAGAAAUAUGUAUAUGCCAAUACAAGACAUUGAACAGACACAUUGAAUCAGUUGUCUGUGAACUAACUGAUUAUUGCUGUCUUAUUUAUAAUAAUUAAUAUUAAUUAUCGUUUGUAUUAAUGUUUAGAAUGUAUUAAUGUCAAAAUUAGAUUUUAGAGUUUCCUUUGCAGCCUACUUUAUGCAUAUAUAUGUGCAAUAAUUUGCUAGUGUAAAGAUAUUAGUUGCAAAAUGAAACUUACAUUUAGAGUUUUAUUAAAAAUAAUAUUAGUAAAAGUAUGCUAUAACAAUUUCCAUAUCUUUUGACUAUUUUAAAAAUAACGUUACAAUUACUAUAAUUAAUAUCACUGACUGAUUGUUUUUAGUAAUCGUCAUUAAAGUGAAGAAAGAAACAAUCGAGGCAUAAUUAAGCAGCUACAAGAAAAGAAUAGUAAUAAUAAUAUAUAACAUAACAUAUGCGAGCCUUGUAGGCUGAAAAGAACACAUGUUGCAAACCUAACAAACGAGCAAAUAUCUGCAAAUAACCCAGAUCGACUGAUCUUAAUGAUAAGAACAUUGUCUCAAUGAAGACACCGCUUGUGCUAUUUUAUCACAUUGAAAAAUUGUGCUUAAUGUGAUAAAUGUGUGCUGAUAAAUUGCAAAGUAUAUAUAGUAUAGGAGAUAUAAGAAGAAAAUUUUUUUUAAUAAUUUCUUGGUUUAUUUAAUAGCAGGUCGUUCUUUUUAUUCUUAACUUUUUUCUUCUUUUCGUUUCAUUCUUUCGCUUUACUCUUUUAUUAUUCGGUUUUUCGAAAGUCGUAUUUAUAAUCAAUUUUCAUCGCAUUGUGUCGACGUUAAAAAUCGCGCAAGAACCGAAUAUUAUUCUGAUCUGUAAAUUAUUCCAACGUACAAUUUCCAAUUUUUUCCAACGUACCUUCGAGCUAAAUUAAAUCUUGCUGCUACUAAAUUAAAUUAGCCUCGAACAGAACAAAAUCCACGCUUACUAAACGUUAUCUACUGGCACAUUUACGUAGCCAUUGAGUUCCGAAUGAUUGCAGACUUUCGUCGAGCCAGCUAUUCCUCGCGCGACCAUCCGAUUCAAGCGUCGAUCAACGAUUCGAAUAUCGUGAAUUUUAACGCGAAAGCAUAUUUCCUUUCAACGCGUAAACAAUGUGAAAGAUCGCCGCAGAAGGCGAAAAAAUCUCGAUGAAGAACCGCGACGAGAGAAGAGAAGGGAAGGAACAAUCGGCCUGAAAGAAUACUCGUUCGUCCCCAUUCACGGGAUCAUCGGCGAACAGCGUCAAAUUAAAUUGAUCCCCGACAGCAGGUCCACCUUCGUGCCCAGCAUCGAUCUACGUUUCCAUUGGCGUUCAUCUGUUUUAUUCGUCGAAUCAGCUUGCGCGGUAAGCACGGACAAUGCUCAUAAAUUUUUUCCUGCCGUGGCAGACAUGGCUUCCGUUUCAUUUGCAUUGUCUCAGAGCGCGUAGCUGAGGAGCGUAACCAGGAUGCACACGAUCGAUCGGCGGCACCAUUGUUUCGCUUUAGUGUCGGUAUCAAUCGCGCGGGGCGUUCAUUACGACGGCAUUAACAGGCUUUUCAAAGGGAGAAAACGAUUUCCAGAAAUUGGAAAAAUGACGAAUAAAAAGCCUUCUUCGUUGAAAUGCUGGAUGAAACCUUUGAAAUCGGCGAAUACGAAAGGUCCGUGGUAUUUUAGACCCAUGAGAGCGUAGCAGGACCCAUGCUCUUUUCGAUAGACACAACAGAUCCUUCAGACGCCUUCAUUCAUCUGCAUUAUUCAUCGGAUUACCUUCGCUGAGGACCUCUUGCUUAUCCAGUCUGCCACUGACCAGGAGUCGACCGAGAAAUUACAAGAAACGUAUUUGCUGCGGGACCAAUGUUUACGUAUCGACGUAUGAAAUUCGGGUUACGCCGAGCACAGUUGUUUCUUAUCUUCUUUAAGAAUGUUUAUUUUAUAUUAUUUCUUUCAAUUGCGUGUUUAAGGUGGCGUGCAUCUUUGAAGAUUAUUAGUAUCACGUCAAGAAUGAUCAGGGGCAGAACGAAUCUGUGGCAAGUUGCAUAAACCAAUUUCUUUCAGAAGAUCUAGAGUCUCUUCUCCAUGGAGCCUUUCUUUUGUAGUAUGUUCAGAGUUUCAGACGGAAAUGAUACCCUGUAAGAAGGAGGUAGUCUAUCUGUGAAUAAGUUUGGACAAAGGACUCGCAUAGGAAACAGGAUGUACAUAGUACGAGGCAGAAAGCAAACGAUACGCUAGAUAAAUUCUGGAAAUUCUGCUGGCUCAUUGGAGGAACAUCGCGAUCGAACCGUAAACCUAGUAGGAAGUUGUGAUUGAGACACUAUGGACUUCCGGAAUUGUACUGCAACAGUAGAAGCGGUUAAUCAGGACCAGAGGAACACAAAGCGGUGGAAUAAGAAAAAUACAAAAAGAAAAAAAGUAAAAGGAUAAGAAGAGAUGAGACGGAAAAGGCCAUUGAGCUUAGGUCAGUAGAGGAAGAAGCACGAUGCCGCUGCCACGUAAAAUUAAUGAUAAAAAAAGGAGUAGCUGAGCAAUAGCUUAAGUUGCCUGUGCUUUUAUACUUUUGUGUUGAGGAGCAAGAAGAGGAUCCUGAUUGUCCUACGAAAUGGGGAAAAUGUAAUGUUGGACCAUGUGCGAAGGUCAGGUCAAAGCCUAAUGAUUCACUGUCAGGAACUCGAGGAGAAUUAAAAUGCAACAUCCUUCGAGCAACUAUCAUCCUGCUGCCGAAAAUGGUGGGACGAGAUACCGUACAAAUAAUAAACAACGUGCAAGCUCACUCGAGAACGCCAUAACGACGAAUCUACAUAAAACAAGCAUAAAAGGGCUCUUGUAUCGCGGUUGGACACGAAACACACGGUAUAAUAAAGAAACGAAUCAGGAGAUUGCAGUGGGAAUGAUAGAAAGAGGAGAAGAAGAGAAAAGAAGAGACACGAGAAGGAAGAAACGACGAGGGAAAGGAUUCUGUUGCAGUUCAUAGCGAGUUAGGUGGCGAAGGUUUUAAGGCGAAGGCGACAUGAAGAGACAGGGCGAGCAGUCGGCAGAUGAAAAUUUCGUUCCUUUCACCUACACACACCGACGUCGAGGAAACGACCUCCGAUUGUAAAAACGAUGAAGCAAGACAUUAGCUUUAUGAACUGGAAGAAAAAACAGGAAAGAGAAAGAGAAAGAAAGAGAGAGAAGACCGUGACCACGGAUCUGGACCUUCUCCAAAGCUACAGAAACUGUCGGUCGUGUUGCCGGUUGUUAAAGCCGUACAAAACCAAGAUUUUAAAGUCGCCAACAAAGUGGCGCAAACUGGGACGCAACGAUUUCGGUCUCCGCGUUCGGUCGUUCGUUAUUAACGUUUUCAGGACUUUUCGCUGCAUUCGGUCCUUUAUUCCGUUCUCUCUGCCCUUUCUUCUCUCGCCGACUUUAUCCUCCUCUUUAUCGCUGUCUCUUUGUCUCCCGCGUCGCAUGUGUAUUUUACUGCACGUAAAAACUGAAUCUGUAACGCGUUCAGUGUGGCUGAUACAUGCAACACGCGUAACUUCUUUUUAUGUUUCAUACUCGCCACUUUUAUUUCUUUCCUUUCUUUUCUUCUUCGGGAGUUGGGAGAGAGGGAGGGGAGUGUCUUCGACAGUUUCGUUCCAGCUCGGUGAAAAUUCUUCAAUGCCGCUGCUUCCAGCGAGAGGCCAAUGUUCUGUCGUUUAUCACCCAGCAGAUUCGUACAAAAUUGGGAUACGCAGCUGUCACACGCGUUUAAAACACGCUGCGCGCAUUCCAUUGAUAGAAUUCGCUGUUAAUAAAUCGUUUUAUCCGCGUAUCUCACCUCUACGAACGUUUAAAUGUUAAUUAAGUUGAUCCAACGUGCUCUCGGUUACUCGGUGUCCACUGUUGAAUCGCGAAAUUCAUUAAUUUUUAAGGAAAUACUCGAACUACGUAAUGAGAAUACUUCGAAGAUACUUGGAGAGUAAUUUAACACUAAAACUACCACAGCAGUGAAAAUGACUGGUUCUAUAAUUUUAUAAAUGUGUCAACCCUCGUUUAGGGAUCCCAGAUGGAUUAAUAAUACCAAAAAUGUACUACAUAACAUGAAAUUUCUUCUAUAAGAAAGUAAU